GUGAGUAACACGUGGGUGAUCUGCCCUGCACUUCGGGAUAAGCCUGGGAAACUGGGUCUAAUACCGGAUAUGACCUCCUAUCGCAUGGUGGGUGGUGGAAAGAUUUAUCGGUGCAGGAUGGGCCCGCGGCCUAUCAGCUUGUUGGUGGGGUAAUGGCCUACCAAGGCGACGACGGGUAGCCGACCUGAGAGGGUGACCGGCCACACUGGGACUGAGACACGGCCCAGACUCCUACGGGAGGCAGCAGUGGGGAAUAUUGCACAAUGGGCGAAAGCCUGAUGCAGCGACGCCGCGUGAGGGAUGACGGCCUUCGGGUUGUAAACCUCUUUCAGCAGGGACGAAGCGCAAGUGACGGUACCUGCAGAAGAAGCACCGGCUAACUACGUGCCAGCAGCCGCGGUAAUACGUAGGGUGCAAGCGUUGUCCGGAAUUACUGGGCGUAAAGCGUGCGUAGG
rnacentral:rRNA from 1 species